UACGUAGGGGGCUAGCGUUGUCCGGAUUUAUUGGGCGUAAAGAGCGUGUAGGCGGCCGAGUAAGUCCGGUGUGAAAACUCGAGGCUUAACCUCGAGAUGUCAUCGGAAACUAUUCGGCUAGAGUCCGGAAGAGGAGAGUGGAAUUCCUGGUGUAGGGGUGAAAUGCGCAGAUAUCAGGAAGAACACCUAUGGCGAAAGCAGCUCUCUGGGACGGUACUGACGCUGAGACGCGAAAGCGUGGGGAGCGAACAGG
rnacentral:rRNA from 1 species